UACAGAGGUCUCAAGCGUUGUUCGGAUUCAUUGGGCGUAAAGGGCGCGUAGGCGGCGGGGUAAGUCGGGUGUGAAAUCUCAGAGCUCAACUCUGAAACUGCACUCGAUACUGCUCUGCUUGAGGACUGGAGAGGAGACUGGAAUUCACGGUGUAGCAGUGAAAUGCGUAGAUAUCGUGAGGAAGACCAGUGGCAAAGGCGGGUCUCUGGACAGUUCCUGACGCUGAGGCGCGAAGGCCAGGGGAGCAAACGGG
rnacentral:rRNA from 1 species